AAUAGAUACCCGGGUAGUCCACGCCGUAAACGUUGGCGCUAGAUGUGGGGACCAUUCCACGGUUUCCGUGUCGCAGCUAACGCAUUAAGCGCCCCGCCUGGGGAGUACGGCCGCAAGGCUAAAACUCAAAGGAAUUGACGGGGGCCCGCACAAGCGGCGGAGCAUGCGGAUUAAUUCGAUGCAACGCGAAGAACCUUACCAAGGCUUGACAUAUACGAGAACGCUCUAGAAAUAGAGAACUCUUUGGACACUCGUAUACAGGUGGUGCAUGGUUGUCGUCAGCUCGUGUCGUGAGAUGUUGGGUUAAGUCCCGCAACGAGCGCAACCCUCGUUCUAUGUUGCCAGCGGUUCGGCCGGGAACUCAUAGGAGACUGCCGGGGUCAACUCGGAGGAAGGUGGGGAUGACGUCAAAUCAUCAUGCCCCUUAUGUCUUGGGCUUCACGCAUGCUACAAUGGCCGGUACAAAGGGCUGCAAUACCGCAAGGUGGAGCGAAUCCCAAAAAGCCGGUCUCAGUUCGGAUUGAGGUCUGCAGCUCG
rnacentral:rRNA from 1 species